CGGGUGAGUAAUGCGUGACCAACCUGCCCCAUGCUCCAGAAUAGCUCUUGGAAACGGGUGGUAAUGCUGGAUGCUCCAACUUGACGCAUGUCUUGUUGGGAAAGUGUUUAGUGGCAUGGGAUGGGGUCGCGUCCUAUCAGCUUGUAGGCGGGGUAAUGGCCCACCUAGGCUUCGACGGGUAGCCGGCCUGAGAGGGCGGACGGCCACAUUGGGACUGAGAUACGGCCCAGACUCCUACGGGAGGCAGCAGU
rnacentral:rRNA from 1 species